rnacentral:tRNA from 5 species
GGCGGUGUAGCUCAGUUGGCAGAGCAGCGGACUCAUAAGCCGCGGGUCGGCCGUUCAAUCCGGCCCACCGCCACCA